rnacentral:rRNA from 1 species
GCAAGAAAAAUACUGUCCAAUCUCACCUGGUCUCAGAACCUAAGCAGGGCUGAGUCUGGUUAGUACUUGGAUGAGAGAGCACCUGAGAACACCAUGUACUGCC